rnacentral:rRNA from 1 species
CACGAACGCUGGCGGCAGGCUUAACACAUGCAAGUCGAGCGCCCCGCAAGGGGAGCGGCAGACGGGUGAGUAACGCGUGGGAAUCUACCCAUCUCUACGGAAUAACGCAUGGAAACGUGUGCUAAUACCGUAUGCGUCCUUCGGGAGAAAGAUUUAUCGGAGAUGGAUGAGCCCGCGUUGGAUUAGCUAGUUGGUGGGGUAAGGGCCUACCAAGGCGACGAUCCAUAGCUGGUCUGAGAGGAUGAUCAGCCACACUGGGACUGAGACACGGCCCAGACUCCUACGGGAGGCAGCAGUGGGGAAUAUUGGACAAUGGGCGCAAGCCUGAUCCAGCCAUGCCGCGUGAGUGAUGAAGGCCCUAGGGUUGUAAAGCUCUUUCACCGGUGAAGAUAAUGACGGUAACCGGAGAAGAAGCCCCGGCUAACUUCGUGCCAGCCGCCGCCGUAAGAC